UAUUUAUUUUAUUAUAUUUAUUUUUUGUUUAUUUAAUUAUUUAAUAAAAAUAAUUUUGUUGAAUUUUGUCUUAGUAUAUUUUGUAGAAUUGAUUUUUUAUAUUAUAGUUUAUUGGUAAUGUAAUUGUUUUAUGAAAUAUUAUUUUAAAUUUUUAAAAGUAGAUUUUAUUUAUUGUACCUUUUGUAUCAGGGUUUAUCAAAAUUUUAGUAUUUACUUUACUUGUCUCGAUUUGGGUUGAUUUAUAAAUAAUUUAUAGUUAAUGUAUCAUAAUUCUUAUUAAAUUAUUUAUAGAAAUGAGAUGUUAACCGUUUCCCAAGAUAUCUAGUUUCUUAAGAAAAAAUUUAAUUUUUUAAAGUUAAUUGUUUUUAUUUAAUUUUUUAAGUAUAAAUAUUAACUUAUUUAUUCUUUAAGGGAUAAGCUUUGAAGUUAAUAACCUAUAAUUUGUUUUAAUAAAAUAUAAUAGUAAGCUUUAAACCAGCUAUCUUUAAGAUUACGUUUUAGCUCAUUAUUUUUAUUUUUGAUUUUAUAACUAUUUUAGGUUUUUUAUUAAGAUUAUAAAUUUAAUUUUUAAAUUUUUGCAAUAAGGGAAGAAUUAGUAUAUUUAUUUGUAGAUAAUUUUUACCUGGUGAAUUUAUUAUAAGGAACUAGGC
rnacentral:rRNA from 1 species